rnacentral:lncRNA from 1 species
AGUGAAACAAAAACUAAAGUUGUAGUUCUCGAAGAGACGAAGAUAAUGAUACCUCGGACGACAUCUAAAUAACCAUGUUUUGGCCGGAAAACACCUCGAAAGCCGUCGGACUCGCUGGAAACUGGGUAAGAUUCAAAUGAGUAUAACUUCUUCAAUACUCAACGAAAUUGGGUGAAACAAAAAGGAAAGUUAUAGUACUUAGCGAGAGGAAGAGAUUGAUACCUUUAACGCCAGCCAACUCGCCAUGGUUUGGCCGGAAAUUAGCUCGAAAGGCACGGGUCAAACUUGAACUUCUUGAAACCAAGUUGUUUCACGUCAAAUCUCUCAAACCUUGACUAGGGACCCUAGGGGGUUGCGUAGAGGCUUUCCCGAGUCCUAAAACAUCAUGACUCGGUUGAAAACACGUCGAACUCAACUCGUCCGAGUUCGGACCUUCCGAGUUGGUGAGUCAAAACUCGUCCAUUCUUGGUUUGGUUGGUAUGGUUGUGUUCGCGAGUAUGAGAGGAGUAAAAUGGGGUUGGUUUCAAGCUCGAUUUAUGAGCUUUGAUGUUCGUUCAUGGUGUUGCAGAGGAAGAGAGAAUACGGGAGAGAAAGAGAGAGAAGAGAGAGAG